GCCUGGAUAACUCAGUUGGUUAGAACGUGGUACUGAUAAUGCCAAGGUUGCAGGUUUGAUCCCCGUAUAGGUCA